UACGAAGGGGGCUAGCGUUGCUCGGAAUCACUGGGCGUAAAGGGUGCGUAGGCGGGUCUUUUAAGUCAGGGGUGAAAUCCUGGAGCUCAACUCCAGAACUGCCCUUGAUACUGAGGAUCUUGAGUUCGGGAGAAGUGAGUGGAACUGCGAGUGUAGAGGUGAAAUUCGUAGAUAUUCGCAAGAACACCAGUGGCGAAGGCGGCUCACUGGCCCGAUACUGACGCUGAGGCACGAAAGCGUGGGGAGCAAACAGG
rnacentral:rRNA from 1 species